rnacentral:snRNA from 1 species
GGGUGAUCUGGCUGUGACACGUGUCACACCAUUGAUCACCAGGGUUGAUUUGGCUGAUCUGGGUUGAAGAGGACGAACUUCCCCCGAUAGAGGAGGACCAUUCCUCCAUCAAGGGUAUACGAGUAGCUGCACCCCCCUGCUAGAACCUCCAAACAAGCUCUCAAAUUCUUGUUUUUAUUGAAUAAAAUCAGUUUAAAAUAAAAGAGACUUAUUUGAGAAAAUUACCUC